rnacentral:rRNA from 1 species
UACAGAGGUCUCAAGCGUUAUUCGGAAUUAUUGGGCGUAAAGGGCGCGUAGGCGGCUUGGCAAGUGGAUGGUGAAAUCCCUCGGCUUAACCGAGGAACUGCCGUCCAAACUGCUUCGCUUGAGACCGGGAGAGGUGAGUGGAAUUCCCAGUGUAGCGGUGAAAUGCGUAGAUAUUGGGAGGAACACCAGUGGCGAAGGCGGCUCACUGGACCGGUACUGACGCUGAUGCGCGAAAGCGUGGGGAGCAAACGGG